rnacentral:rRNA from 1 species
CUACGGGCGGCAGCAGUGGGGAAUCUUAGACAAUGGGCGCAAGCCUGAUCUAGCCAUGCCGCGUGAGUGAUGAAGGCCUUAGGGUCGUAAAGCUCUUUCGCUGGGGAAGAUAAUGACGGUACCCAGUAAAGAAACCCCGGCUAACUCCGUGCCAGCGAGCCGCGGUAAUACGGAGGGGGUUAGCGUUGUUCGGAAUUACUGGGCGUAAAGCGCGCGUAGGCGGACUGUUAAGUCGGGGGUGAAAUCCCGGGGCUCAACCCCGGAACGGCCUUCGAUACUGGCAGUCUGGAGUUCGAGAGAGGUGAGUGGAAUUCCGAGUGUAGAGGUGAAAUUCGUAGAUAUUCGGAGGAACACCAGUGGCGAAGGCGGCUCACUGGCUCGAUACUGACGCUGAGGUGCGAAAGUGUGGGGAGCAAACAGGAUUAGAUACCCCCGUAGUC